rnacentral:rRNA from 1 species
ACGCUCGACACCUACGGGAGACAGCAGUGGGGAAUAUUGCACAAUGGGGGAAACCCUGAUGCAGCGACGCCGCGUGGAGGAAGAAGGUCUUCGGAUUGUAAACUCCUGUUGUUGGGGAAAAAGAGGAUGGUACCCAACAAGGAAGUGACGGCUAACUACGUGCCAGCAGCCGGGUAAUCUGAGCGGGCUGGCAAGGC